rnacentral:lncRNA from 1 species
CUAGCUCUAACUGUCACUCAGUUCCAAUUCUGGCUGCCACACGCCUUAGCCACACCAGGCUGCACCAUCUCAGCAGCAGGCUGUGAUAGGAGGACUGGCAGAGGUGGUUUACCUCAAGAGAUUCCUAUUGGAAGAGGAAGGAAAUAAGGAAGAACUGGCAAUAUAUGUAUAGAAUAGGCCUAUCUGUAGUGAUUUAGGAUAGAAUGGGGGAAUUGAAAGGAUAAGGAGGAGAAUUAACCCACCAGCACCUCCGUCAAGCUCUCAACAUUGAUAGAAGAAAGAAAUCACAACGAGGCAAAGACAAAGCCUUGCUUUUUAAGUGAGCCACAGCAGAAUGGACACCUGUCUAACAGAGUAAGAGCUCCAUGGGGAAAAGUCCAACAGCAUCAAGAUAUCCCUGUGAUCAAAACCAGCAAAUCAGCAGAGAUUAAAGUGCGGUCUCGCUCCAGAGAAUAAGAGCUGUGAAAGGAGCCUCGAGAUGUGGGGGCGGCAGACAGAGCCUGCACCUCGUGGAGCAGCGGAGGCAUGAUGGAUCCUUGCUGUGACUGGUGCCUGGACAUCCCUGCCAACCACCUUGGAGAAUGGCACCUUCUGAGUGUGCCUGAACCACUCUUCUCCUUGGCUACCACUCUGAGUACUAUCCCUAGAGACUACUGGCCACACACAUCCACAGUCUCAAUGUCCA